rnacentral:tRNA from 1 species
UGGGACGUCGUCAAGCGGUAAGACAACGGGUUUUGAUCCCGUCAUUCCGCAGGUUCGAAUCCUGCCGUCCCAGCAA